CAAUUGCCUCCUUUUUCUUUCUCCGUGCCCUAAUGGCUCUCCCCGACUCUUCUUCCCGCCGCAACUCCCUGAUCCCCUCUUUCAUCUACUCCUCUUCCUCCAAAACGCUCCCUCUACACCACAUGCUCAACUCCGCCUCCGCCGCCGCCCCCUCCCCGCCGCCGGAAAACCUCCACGCCGGAUCGCGCGGCCUCGUGAUUCCCUCUCCCAGCGAGUCACGCAAGAUCGAGAUGUACUCCCCUGCCUUCUACGCCGCCUGCACCGCCGGUGGAAUCCUCAGCUGUGGCCUCACUCACUUGGCCUUCACUCCUCUUGAAAUAGUCAGGUGUAAUAUGCAGGUUCUCUCUCUCUCUCUCUCUCUCUCUCUCUCUCUAUAUAUAUAUAUAUAUAUCGAUCUGUCUUAUUGUGCUUAGAUUUAGGGGCUUAAGGAGCAGGGAUUCAGGGCCUUUUUCCGUGGCUGGGUGCCUACCUUGCUUGGUUACAGUGCCCAGGGUGCUUGCAAAUUUGGCUUCUAUGAGUUCUUUAAGAAGUACUAUUCUGAUAUUGCUGGCCCAGAGUAUGCAAGCAAGUACAAGACCUUGAUCUACCUUGCUGGUUCAGCAUCUGCUGAGGUUAUUGCUGAUAUUGCUCUUUGCCCAUUUGAGGCUGUGAAGGUCCGUGUCCAAACUCAGCCAGGUUUUGCAAGGGGUUUGUCUGAUGGGCUCCCAAAAUUUGUCAGAUCCGAAGGAACCUUAGGGCUGUACAAGGGAUUAGUGCCUCUAUGGGGACGACAGAUUCCAUACACAAUGAUGAAGUUUGCUUCGUUUGAGACCAUUGUUGAGCUGAUCUAUAAGCACGCCAUCCCAACACCAAAGAAUGAGUGCACCAAAGGCCUGCAACUUGCUGUCAGUUUUGCUGCUGGAAAUAUUGCUGGUGUACUUUGUGCAAUUGUGUCUCAUCCUGCUGAUAAUCUUGUCUCUUUUCUGAACAAUGCAAAAGGAGCAACAGUUGGUGAUGCGGUGAAGAAGCUUGGCCUGUGGGAUCUCUUUACCCGUGGUCUUCUCUUCCGUAUUGUUAUGAUUCAAUCUCUUACUGGAGACCAAUGGGUUAUAUAUGAUGCAUUGAAAUUGUUUGCCGGAUUGCCAACCACUGGUGGUCCUGCUCCUGCAGCUGCUCUAGCUUCUGAUGCUGAGCUUGCAAAGGCAUAGAAUGUCCAAUGAUGACACAUUCAACAGUUUGUUUACGAAACUUAGAAAGCCAGUGAAUAGGGACACCAUAAAUAAACAGGAGGAUUGCAGAAGUUGCUUGAGUGGAACUCGAGCUUGGUUGGAUAAUAUAUUCUUUUAAAGUUCAGACAUCGUGUUUCCAUUUUUCUUAAAUUUGAGUAUUUUGAAUUUUUAGGAGGAUGGUUUUGCUCGCAUCCUCCUCUUGCUGAAAACUUUGUAGGUAGGAAUGAUAUAAUUUUGCAUGCUAGGUUCUCUACAUGCCAUUGUCAAACGGGAAUACUCAUUUGUUUUCUUGUCUGUGCAUAAGCACAGACGCAUAUGCAAAUGUCUAGAUUGAGAUAAUUUUUACUCCCUUUAUUUGAUUAUUUCUUUUGGAAAA